rnacentral:rRNA from 1 species
GUCUUUAAGAUUAUAAUUUAAAGUCAAAUYUGCUCCAUGAAUAUUUAAAUAGCUGCAGAAUAUUAACUGUACAAAGGUAGCAUAGUCAAUAGUUUCUUAAUUAGAAGCUGGAAUGAAUGAUUUGAUAAGGUAAAUAUUGUCUCAAUUUUAUUAAAAUUAAAAUUUUUUUUUUAGUAAAAAUACUAAAAAAAAUUUAAAAGACGAGAAGACCCUAUAGAUUUUUAUAUUUAAAAUUAAAAUUAUUUAAAUUAAAUAAUAAAUUUUAAUUAUUAAAGUAUUUGGUUGGGGUAAUUAUUAAAUUAAUAGAAUUUUAAUUUUUAAAAACUAAAAUUAUUGAAUUUUUGAACUUAUAUUAUAAAUUAGAAGAAUAAAUUACCUUAGGGAUAACAGCGUAAUUUUUUUUGAGAGAUCUUAUUGAUAAAAAAGUUUGCGACCUCGAUGUUGAAUUAAGAUAAAAUUUUAAUGAAGAAGUWAAAAAAUUUUGGUCUGUUCGACCAUUAAAAUCUUACGUGAUCUG